rnacentral:miRNA from 1 species
AUACGCACACUUAAGACUUUAG